GGGGGUAUAGCUCAGUGGUAGAGCAUUUGACUGCAGAUCAAGAUGUCCCAGGUUCAAAUCCUGGUGCCCCCU
rnacentral:tRNA from 1 species